GAUGAACGCUGGCGGCGUGCUUAACACAUGCAAGUCGAACGGUGAACGAGGGAGCUUGCUCCCUCCGGAUCAGUGGCGAACGGGUGAGUAACACGUGAGCAAUCUGCCCUGGACUCUGGGAUAAGCGUUGGAAACGACGUCUAAUACCGGAUACGAGGCGUGGGGGCAUCCCCAACGCCUGGAAAGAACUUCGGUCCAGGAUGAGCUCGCGGCCUAUCAGCUAGUUGGUGAGGUAACGGCUCACCAAGGCGACGACGGGUAGCCGGCCUGAGAGGGUGACCGGCCACACUGGGACUGAGACACGGCCCAGACUCCUACGGGAGGCAGCAGCGGGGAAUAUUGCACAAUGGGCGCAAGCCUGAUGCAGCAACGCCGCGUGAGGGACGACGGCCUUCGGGUUGUAAACCUCUUUUAGCAGGGAAGAAGCGAAAGUGACGGUACCUGCAGAAAAAGCACCGGCUAACUACGUGCCAGCCGCCGCGGUAAAAC
rnacentral:rRNA from 1 species